UACGAAGGGGGCUAGCGUUGCUCGGAAUUACUGGGCGUAAAGCGCGCGUAGGCGGUGAUCUUUGUCAGAGGUGAAAUCCCGGGGCUCAACUCCGGAAUUGCCUUUGAAACGGGAUCGCUAGAGUCCGAGAGAGGAUGGCGGAAUUCCUAGUGUAGAGGUGAAAUUCGUAGAUAUUAGGAAGAACACCGGUGGCGAAGGCGGCCAUCUGGCUCGGUACUGACGCUCAGGCGCGAAAGCGUGGGGAGCAAACAGG
rnacentral:rRNA from 1 species